UACGUAGGGACCAAGCGUUGUCCGGAAUCAUUGGGCGUAAAGCGCGCGUAGGCGGUUACUUAAGUCGGAUGUGAAAGCCCUCGGCUUAACUGAGGAAGUGCACCCGAAACUGAGUAGCUAGAGUACGAAAGAGGGUCGCGGAAUUCCCGGUGUAGAGGUGAAAUUCGUAGAUAUCGGGAGGAACACCGGUGGCGAAGGCGGCGACCUGGGUCGAGACUGACGCUGAGGCGCGAAAGCGUGGGGAGCAAACAGG
rnacentral:rRNA from 1 species